GAUGAACGCUAGCGGGAGGCCUAAUACAUGCAAGUCGAACGGUAACAGGUAGCAAUACGCUGACGAGUGGCGCACGGGUGAGUAACACGUACACAACCUGCCUAUGACUGGGGCAUAACUUCGGGAAACUGAAGCUAAUUCCCCAUAACACUGCAGAGAGGCAUCUCUCAGCAGUUAAAGCCCCGGCGGUCAUAGAGGGGUGUGCGUUUGAUUAGCUAGUUGGUAAGGUAACGGCUUACCAAGGCUACGAUCAAUAACUGGUCUGAGAGGAUGAUCAGUCACACGGGCACUGAGACACGGGCCCGACUCCUACGGGAGGCAGCAGUAGGGAAUAUUGGACAAUGGAGGCAACUCUGAUCCAGCCAUCCCGCGUGAAGGAUUAAGGCCCUCUGGGUUGUAAACUUCUUUUCUCUGGGAAUAAAAACCGGGAUUUAUCCUGGCUUGAAGGUACCAGAGGAAUAAGCACCGGCUAACUCCGUGCCAGCCGCCGCAGUAAGAC
rnacentral:rRNA from 1 species